rnacentral:lncRNA from 1 species
GCCCGAGGGGGGAAGGAAGCAGCUCAGAUAGAGCCUGAGUAAGCACGUCGCACUAAUGCAGAGUCACUCACAGAACCAAACCCUGGGCAAUGACCACGUCCGGCACUAGGAGACUCUCCAUGAAUUAGGCUGAAUCCCACCACCCCGGAUGGGAAGAGUGCCUUCGUCGCCGAGUGGAGACAGAAAGUCAAAACCAGCUGUGCUAGGCUCCGAGGCCUCUCCUUUCAGGGAGGGGCGCCCGUGGGGAUCAAGGCCCCGCUGAGGAGGAAAUUUCCAGACCAGCCACCAUGAGGCUUUUCCUUCUGUUCGAACCCAGUGGGGUUUGAGUCUGGGAUGAUUAUGGGUGAUUUUUAUUGUCUUCUCUACUUUUUUUUAUUUUCCAAAAUGCCUAUAUUAAACAUGCAUCCUUUCUCAUUAAAAAACACGUGUCCACAUAUGCUUAAAUGUAUGUUGAUAUUAACUAUACAUAUAUACACACAAUGCAAUUAAAGAAGAGAGAGGAGAAGCCCCUGUGUACUGACUCUAGGGCCUCGGGGGCAGCCUGAGCUGGGUGGGGGCACCCCCAUCCCAGGCCAGGCUGUGAGCCCUUCCGGCCGUGGCACAGCCGUGUGCGACAGCUGGUGCGCAGUCAAUGCUGAAGGGCAUUUUAGGAAGGCGGCCUCUCCACCCACCCCCUUGGCCAAGCCGCACGCACUGCCCGAGAUGCUGGGGGCACCCGCAAAGACCUUAGGCGAGUCCGAAUCGGAGGCAGUGUUUCUAGAGCAUUUCCUGCCAUGCACCUAAGCAGGCAGGUGGACACGCGGAGGUGAGGGGCGCACAAGGGAGGUUUCCGGAGGCGCCAGCAGCCCGGAGUUUCGAGUUGCAGCCUUGGGCCUGGAACCUCUGGCCCAGCGAAGACCUGAUCAACAGCAGAUGCCCUUCCCACGCAAGCCGGCCCACAUCUCCCUCCUUUCCGGGCCUGAAAGGCCAGGCUGGGAACGAGACAGGGGGAGGUGGGGGACUGCGGACCCUGAGGACCUGAGCGGGGGACGCAGCCCAGGAAGCGCCCCCGCCGGGCCAGGCAAGAACGUCAAGGCUGGGGAGGCUGAGAGAGAAAGCAGGUGUACCCGGCCGGCCGGCCUCCAACAGGAGCUAUCCCCGCUGCCCCUGCCACCAGCCUCCAGCCAGGUGGCAACACCAGCAUGGAGCUUCCCAGGGGGUGGGCAAAGUGGGAGGGAAGGGUCCCGGCAGCAAGAGGAGAGAGGAAUGAGCGGUCAGGGGAAGAGGGGUUCUGAGAGAGGCUGAUGGAGCCCAGAGACGAUGACUGUGCAGAAUGGCACGGGGGACGUCAGGGCCCUUUCUGGGGGCGGAUGCUCACGGCCGCCCCCCCUGCUGCAGAGAGCGGACCAGAAAAUGUUCUCCUAAGUGACUGGAAAAAGACCAGACUACCCCUCUUCAAGUGGUUUUUUGUUGUUUUUUUUUUGUUUGUUUGCUGAGACAUUGACCAGGCAACCAAUUUAUGAGGAAGGCACAUGCCUGGAGCCCCACAUUUUUGCUUGGGCUUAACUUCAGCUCAGGAGGGCGGAUCGUGGGACCGAGAGGCAGCCCAGGCCAGGCCAGAGCAGCCAGCCCGGGGAAGGCAGCUUUGAGCGCGAGACGUGGUGCCAGCAUCCUUGCUCCUUGCUCUGGCGGGCAGGGGAGGAGGCGGCGGCCCGGGACACCGGAAGUGAUCCCUCUACCCACACACAAGUCCUGGAAGAUGAUGCAGGUCAAGGUAAGGGCUCGGAAGAGCAGGGCGGGGGCAGAAGCUGGCAGUGUUGAAAGAAUUCCAAAACACGCUGAAAGAGUUUCUGGAAGUUACUGAUAGGGUAAGACGACCCAUCCUGGAAUUAAAGGAGCCUGGGGUGAAAAUGCCUGCGAAGAUUCGCCUCGGCAGAUUACAGAGAAGCAGCAGGACGACAGCAGGGGACAUUAUCAAGAGGACGAAGGGGUGGGGGUUCGCCGAGGGGGUGGCCUGGGGUCCCGCAGGGGCCACAUUCGAAUCCCAGGUCUCCUCCUCGUUAGCUUGACCUGGACCACUCCUUGCACGACUGACCUUGGGGCUUGUUGGGGGAGGGGGGCGAGAAAUCACGAGUGUAAGACAGCAGCUCACGGGGGGGCAGUCAGCGCACUGGAGCCCAAGGCACUGGAGACACCAGGGGGACAGCGCUCACACCUGCUCAGGUACAUGUGACACGAGUGCGCUCUCACACACAGAGACACACACGAGUCACUCGCCUGGGGAGCCCACGAAGGACCUGGGGCAGUUCGGACGGCUCUAUGAAGCAGGUGGUUGAUGCAUGUCAGUGUGGACAGUCCAGCCCGCAGCCUCCACCCCGCAAACGCGCCCGGGCUCCCCAGGCUGUUCUUCCGCGUUCCCCAGACCAAACCCCAGAGCACCCCUGGCAGACCCCCCGUUUCCUCCCUUCUCUGGCCCCUCUAGGAGCAUCGAGUCCAGGACACCCACCUCUGCCAGCCAGUGAGUCCCCCUUCUCCCCCAGACCAGCCCAGACGCCCUCACGUCCGCCCGCCCUGCUUCAGAAUGAGCCAGUUCAAAGCAGGCCGGCCAACACCCCCGGGGCUUAGCAAACGCCUUCCGCUCCAGCCCGCAGCUCCUUGGUGAGCCUCCCUCAACUGCGCACUGCCAGUGCCGAGGGAUGGGACAGACCCGGAGACCCCGUCUGCGUGGAGAUCCCAACGGUGCCCCCUUAAACUCUCACCCAAACCUACGACGGAGACCCCCUCUGCUCCAUUUUGCACAUCAGAAACCAGGACACGGAAGAAAAAGGCUGUUUUGACGUCAAGCUGGGAGCCUGGCAGUGCAUCUCCCAGCCAGGCCAGGUCCCGGGCAGGUGGGGCCCGGCUGCAGUCUUGCCCUUGGCCUCCAGGCGAGCCAUGCCCACACCUGGUCUGGAAACAUGAGGCUCGGCUGUCCCGACAGUGAACUAGCCUUGCCUCUCCACCAUCUGCGGGGACUUCUGCGCCAGUGAUGUGACCUCCAACUAGACACGCCUGGGACCACGUGGACGGGAGGCGCCCUCUUCCCUCUGUUUCAGAUGCGCCAAAACUCCCUGGCUUUUCCCAGGAGAACCCGCCUGGCCUCGGUCAGUGGGGGAGGAGGGCCACCCAAGGAGAAAAUUUCUGAGGCCUCUGAGAAUUCUCUAGAACUCACGAUCCAUCUUCAGGGAAAACCAAGAGCUGAACGCCUGAGCCUGGUGCUCAGCAAGCCCGCUGGCUCUCACGGUCUCUCUGCCCACGAGAUAAAAGGCAGACUCAGACGUCAGGCCCCCGGGCAUCGCUCCUCUCCGCGUGUUCAUUUUUCUCUGCUGAAGUGCUGAUGGUUGAAAGAUGGGGCCCUUGCCUGGUCCAGCUUCCCUGACCCAGAAGGUGAUGGGGAAGCUGCCCAAGUUUCACUCCUGGGACCUCUGCGGGGCCACUGGGCCCCCACCUUGCCCUCAGAGGGGGAGCCCCCGCAGCCUCCCCGCCCUGAUCUUCUGCAACAUUUGGCUUUUGCUGGCCCGGGGCCGCGUGUGGGAACUGAUAUUAAACAGGCAGGCCCCACCUGGCCACAAUCCUCGCCCAUCACUCCUUCCUUCCCCCUAAAAUGGAAAAAGUGACUCAGCUAGAACCACUCACCCCCCCACCCCCACCGCACAAACCCGCUCCUUGCAGCUGAACACAAGGGCGCAAGGUCAGAGCCUGCCCCAUCUCCUCUGAGAAGCCCAAGGAUGAGGGACUUGGGGGGCUUUGGAAAGUGGGCGCCCCAUACAGCACGGCUUCCUCCCGAAACCAAACAGGCACCAGCUCCCGGCCUGGGCCCCAGGAGACAGGUGGAGGGCAGCCACUGGGUUCCACCAACCUCCUCCUCUCUCAGCCCCUUGCUGCCCGGGGGGGUCCGACCCCAGAUGGAAAGAUGGGGCUGAUGGGGCUGAAACUUCCCUUCACUGCAAUGUCUGGCUCCCAGGAGGCUGGGCAAAACCCAGUUUCCACAACUCGAAUGUGACUGUAAAGACUCCAGCUUACUAGUGGUGGGACUUCUGUGAGCCUCAGUUUUCCUGCCUGGAAGAUGGAGAUGCUCCCACCUUGCCAAGACGUCAUCUGGAUAAAACGACGGUCGACAGCACUCGGGAUAAGGGGAAAGAAAGAUCCAGAAGUUCCGACUCCUCGCCUUCAGAGAAUAUUCCCAAGCAGACACACCUCUCCUGUGUCAGAUGCUCUUCUACCUAAUUCAAGUAUCAGCUGCUGGGUCGAGGAGGCCACUGAGGGGCCGAGGGACCCCAGGGCUGGCUCGGACCAGAGGCCCCUCAUCCUCCAGGCCCAGAGGCGACCAGAGUGGCGGGCAGGCCAAGAGCCUCCAGGUCGGUCAUGCCAACCCAGCCAGCCCAGCUGCUCCCACCCCCCACCCCCGUGCCCUGUGCCUUCCAGCUGGACCCCAGCCCUCCCCAGUGUUUGUAAAUCCUUCUCGCGGGCCAGGCAGCUGUUUGUAAUCGGCCAGGGCCUGGCCAGGAAGGGGAGGUGGGAGCCUGCCCAUGAGAGGCCCAGGGCGCUGCGGGGGGUGUGAGGACAGGGCCGAGCGCUCCUGGGCCAAGAAAAUGACCCGGAGAAGGUCCCAUAAUGAAUUCAGUGGAAGGUUCAACAGCCGCCUCCCCAAAUAUUGUCUGUAAAAUGCACCCCCUACCCCACCUGGAUUGCCCCCCAACCCCGCCCCAAGGUUUGGGCCCCUGGCGCUGACGGUUCAGCCUCCUCUGUGGCCCCAGCCCCGCAAGAGGCAGCUUUAUUCCUAGUUUCAAGCACCUUAGAGAAACCACGGGCACUGCCUCCCUGAGUUCCACCAGUAAGAGAAACAAUAUAAAUAGCAACAAUGCUACAGAAUCGUUAUUAUCCAAUAAUAAUAACACAGAGACCAAGAACAGUUCUUGCUUUCAGGAUGAUUCCAGCAUCCGCUGCCCUGCAUCAAACACAGGAUGCAGGACACCCCAGGAUGGGCCCUCUGUCCACGG